rnacentral:rRNA from 1 species
GACGAACGCUGGCGGCGUGCCUAGUACAUGCAAGUAGAACGCUGAAGGAGGAGCUUGCUUCUCUGGAUGAGUUGCGAACGGGUGAGUAACGCGUAGGUAACCUGCCUGGUAGCGGGGGAUAACUAUUGGAAACGAUAGCUAAUACCGCAUAAUAGUAGAUGUUGCAUGACAUUUGCUUAAAAGGUGCAAUUGCAUCACUACCAGAUGGACCUGCGUUGUAUUAGCUAGUUGGUGAGGUAACGGCUCACCAAGGCGACGAUACAUAGCCGACCUGAGAGGGUGAUCGGCCACACUGGGACUGAGACACGGCCCAGACUCCUACGGGAGGCAGCAGUAGGGAAUCUUCGGAAAUGGACGGAAGUCUGACCGAGCAACGCCGCGUGAGUGAAGAAGGUUUUCGGAUCGUAAAGCUCUGUUGUAAGAGAAGAACGAGUGUGAGAGUGGAAAGUUCACACUGUGACGGUAUCUUACCAGAAAGAGACGGCUAACUACGUG